GAUGAACGCUGGCGGCGUGCCUAAUACAUGCAAGUCGAGCGAACAGACGAGGAGCUUGCUCCUCUGACGUUAGCGGCGGACGGGUGAGUAACACGUGGAUAACCUACCUAUAAGACUGGGAUAACUUCGGGAAACCGGAGUUAAUACCGGAUAAUAUAUUGAACCGCAUGGUUCAAUAGUGAAAGACGGUUUUGCUGUCACUUAUAGAUGGAUCCGCGCCGCAUUAGCUAGUUGGUAAGGUAACGGCUUACCAAGGCAACGAUGCGUAGCCGACCUGAGAGGGUGAUCGGCCACACUGGAACUGAGACACGGUCCAGACUCCUACGGGAGGCAGCAGUAGGGAAUCUUCCGCAAUGGGCGAAAGCCUGACGGGGCAACGCCGCGUGAGUGAUGAAGGUCUUCGGAUCGUAAAACUCUGUUAUUAGGGAAGAACAAAUGUGUAAGCAACUAUGCACGUCUUGACGGUACCUAAUCAGAAAGCCACGGCUAACUACGUG
rnacentral:rRNA from 1 species